rnacentral:rRNA from 1 species
GAUGAACGCUGGCGGCGUGCCUAAUACAUGCAAGUCGAGCGAACGGACGAGAAGCUUGCUUUUCUGAUGUUAGCGGCGGACGGGUGAGUAACACGUGGAUAACCUACCUAUAAGACUGGGAUAACUUCGGGAAACCGGAGCUAAUACCGGAUAAUAUUUUGAACCGCAUGGUUCAAAAGUGAAAGACGGUCUUGCUGUCACUUAUAGAUGGAUCCGCGCUGCAUUAGCUAGUUGGUAAGGUAACGGCUUACCAAGGCAACGAUGCAUAGCCGACCUGAGAGGGUGAUCGGCCACACUGGAACUGAGACACGGUCCAGACUCCUACGGGAGGCAGCAGUAGGGAAUCUUCCGCAAUGGGCGAAAGCCCGACGGAGCUACGCCGCGUGAGUGAUGAAGGUCUUCGGAUCGUAAAACUCUGUUAUUAGGGAAGAACAUAUGUGUAAGUAACUGUGCACAUCUUGACGGUACCUAAUCAGAAAGCCACGGCUAACUACGUG